rnacentral:rRNA from 1 species
UGGCGGCGUGCUUAACACAUGCAAGUCGAGCGGAAAGGUCCUUUCGGGGUACUCGAGCGGCGAACGGGUGAGUAACACGUGAGUAAUCUGCCCUGCACUCUGGGAUAGCCAUCGGAAACGGUGAUUAAUACUGGAUAUUAGCGAUCCUCGCAGUGGGGGUUGUUGGAAAGUUUUUUCGGUGCAGGAUGUGCUCGCGGCCUAUCAGCUUGUUGGUGAGGUAAUGGCUCACCAAGGCUUCGACGGGUAGCCGGCCUGAGAGGGUGACCGGCCACACUGGGACUGAGACACGGCCCAGACUCCUACGGGAGGCAGCAGUGGGGAAUAUUGGACAAUGGGCGGAAGCCUGAUCCAGCAACGCCGCGUGAGGGAUGACGGCCUUCGGGUUGUAAACCUCUUUCAGUACAGACGAAGCGCAAGUGACGGUAUGUACAGAAGAAGGACCGGCCAACUACGUG